rnacentral:rRNA from 1 species
AAGAUGGCGACCGGCGCACGGGUGAGUAACACGUAUCCAACCUGCCGAUAACUCGGGGAUAGCCUUUCGAAAGAAAGAUUAAUACCCGAUGGCAUAAUAGAACCGCAUGGUUUGAUUAUUAAAGAAUUUCGGUUAUCGAUGGGGAUGCGUUCCAUUAGGCAGUUGGUGGGGUAACGGCCCACCAAACCUUCGAUGGAUAGGGGUUCUGAGAGGAAGGUCCCCCACAUUGGAACUGAGACACGGUCCAA